AUAGCAAUCAAGACCAGCUGCUGGAGUCUGAAUUGUGCAGUAUUUACACAGACAAAACUUGGGCUAGAUCCUGGACUUGACUGAUUUGUGUUUAAUGCUAUAAAAAACAUGUGGGGAUCUAGAGCCACAUGAAACAUUCAAGAUGCAGAUGCAUAUUGGAUUUUCUGAUUUUGGUUUUACAUUUUUGUUUGUUUGAGUUUUGUUGCUUUUUGCUACUGGUGAGCAUGACCUGAACAUUUAAAUUUUGAGGUGUUUUUUCUUUAGCAUGCCACAAUGCCUUUCAUUGUUUGUUCUUUUCUGUCUGUGAUCUAGUGGUCUGUUUGACAUCUUUUCUUGCUUGAUAGUUUUACCUCAGUAACUGAAAAGAAAUUUUUUAGAUUUUCCCUCUCCACAAGGUGUUGAGCCCCUCUGGUCAAUACCUCAGUUCUACAUUUUUGUGAAAGUCAAAGUCCCAGUGCUGGGCAGUUGUUUUGUUUAGUUUGGUGUUGUUCUGGAGUGUUGCUUCUCUAGUCACUUGAAGGGCAUAUCAUUAACUAUGGUUUAUCCAUGGAAGGUUUGGAAAACCUUCCAGUUAUUUGCUCAGAUUUAUUCAACUUGACAAAGAAGGAUAUGCUCUCUGUAGUGGCUAGGGAAAGCAAUAUCAAUUCACUGUCUGAUUAAAAUUGAAGCUCUUCCCUUGCCUCAUCUGUUGACUAAACAUUACCUCUGUUGAUCGAAGUAUGGCUAGCUUGAAAACUGACAUUUGUAAUUUUACUGACAUCUCAGUGUCUGUAAAAUUCUCUAGUUUUAUUCUGGACUGUAGCACUGAAAUAGAAGUUUAAAACAAACUUCUAUGCAUAUGGAUGUUUUCCAGAUUACAAAAAAAAAAAAACCUAGUGCUUUUAAUAAGAUACUGAUUUCUUUGCCAAGAUUUAUUAGACAUUUAAACAAGUCUGACAGGGACAUAAUUAUAAGGAAUAUAUCCCUCUUUUGCAGAGUAGCUUAAAAGAGUACUGGUCAUCACGUUGCAAUUCUGUCUGUUUACUGUGUUCUUUGAAAAGUGAUUUAUACUGAAUGUAUCUGAAAGCUAGGGGUAUGACGGCGUUUGAAGUUCAGUCAGUUUGUAGUCAUCUAUCCUUCAAUCACAUGCUUCCAAUGAUACCUUAUUGUCUCAAUUUGAAGAUAUCAUGCAGGCCGUUAUGCCAAGAACUUGAGCAAAGAAGUCAUAAUGCUUCAAGCUAGAAGAAGGAAGAGGUCCCUGUAUUAUUUUGUUUCUUAUAAAGAACCCUUGUGAACCUAUUUGUUGACUCUCUUUGAGAAGCUCUAUUUUGGUUUUGCUAGAUCUGAAACCUUACUAGUAGUAAAAAUAUCAUGAGGAAUAAGUUGUGUUAUUUCUCUACUUUUGCUGUAGAAUCCAAUUUUUGUAAGUUACAAUAGAGAAAGGCUUGCUGAAGCAUUUAGAUUUUCUUUUUUGUAAUAGAUAAAAGUAAUUGUUGAUGUAAAAUGAAAGUCUCCUAGUUUUCCUUAAAUUUCUUCUAACAAAAUUGUAUUUUUGUCUGUGCAUUUGUCAGGUUGUUUUGUCAGAAAGAAAAGCCCAACACUGUCAUAUUUUUCUCAAACAUAACGUAUAAUGAGUUGGAUAUCCACUCUGUGUGUCAAAACCACAUUAGCUAUUGUUAAAAAUGUAUUUAUAGUGCAUUAAGUUAAAAAGAUUAUGUAAUAUCUAAAUGCAUUUCAAUUCUAAAGCAUUUCCUUUGUUUAAAUACAGAAAACAGCUGCAACAACCCAACUAGGGCAAUACUGUACCUCCCUGGUGUAUUUCUCUGUAAGAUGUAGUUAAUAUAGAUUUAUUUGAGAGGAAAAGUCUGUGAACAGUCAUGUAGAUUUUUUCUAAGUAUCAGCUGUGAAAUACAUCAUCUUUUGAAGCAGUGGUUUUAAAAUUUCAAUUUGUUACAUCCUUUUGGCCCUUUAACAUAGAUACUUUUGAAUACUAAGGAGUUCAGUCUGUGAGAAUAUCCUAUAUGUAUGAUUCCUUCUUUGUAAGAUCAGUCUCUGCCUUAUGCUUAGUACUGUUGUUAGCUUCUGGCCCAUAUCUGCCUGCAUUUAGCAAAAUCAGUAUGACUGUGAAUUGUUAAUGGAUUUGUGUGUAGAUCAGUUGUAUGUAAAUAAACGAUUCUUUGGUGGAAAAUGCUAUGAAGGUGGUAAAUGAUUUUGGAAAUCCUGAUUAAAACCUGUUAAUCAAAUAUC